ensembl:rRNA 5S_rRNA 5S ribosomal RNA
UCUGAAGUCUAUGGCCAUGAACACAUCUGAUCUCAUCUGAUCUCAGAAGUUAAGCAGGGUCGGGCCUGGUUAGUACUUGGAUAGGAGAAAUCAAUCUGAAAAGGUUAUGUACUAUAAGAG